CCUACGGGGGGCAGCAGUGGGGAAUAUUGGACAAUGGGGGGAACCCUGAUCCAGCCAUGCCGCGUGUGUGAAGAAGGCCCUCGGGUUGUAAAGCACUUUCAGUGAGGAAGAACGCCUGGUGGUUAAUACCCAUCAGGAAAGACAUCACUCACAGAAGAAGCACCGGCUAACUCCGUGCCAGCAGCCGCGGUAAUACGGAGGGUGCGAGCGUUAAUCGGAAUUACUGGGCGUAAAGCGCGCGUAGGUGGCUUGAUAAGCCGGUUGUGAAAGCCCCGGGCUCAACCUGGGAACGGCAUCCGGAACUGUCAAGCUAGAGUGCAGGAGAGGAAGGUAGAAUUCCCGGUGUAGAGGUGAAAUGCGUAGAGAUCGGGAGGAAUACCAGUGGCGAAGGCGGCCUUCUGGACUGACACUGACACUGAGGUGCGAAAGCGUGGGUAGCAAACAGGAUUAGAUACCCUUGUAGUC
rnacentral:rRNA from 1 species